CUCCCUCUCGCCCGAAGUCCUCGCCGCCGCCACCACCAACGCCGGCCGCUUCCGGCGAGCUCCGGCGAAGCGCAGCACGCCUCCAAGCUCCCCAUCGUGCGCGCCUCCCUCCCCUCCGUCCAGAUUCCCUGCUCCCCGCCUCUACCGUCCGGUCGCAACCCCACCCCCAUGGCUAGGGUUCCAGAUGUAGAUGGACCACGCCAUGGGAGUUCCCAUCCACCACGGUCGCCGCCGUCAAGGGCUUCUUCACGGAGAUGUGAAGGACGCCAUGGACCUGCAGCUCCUCAAGGUUAACAUGGAGGAACCCUAGCCAGCAGCACCUCCUCACCUCUGAUGAUGCCUCUGCUGCACCAAGAUAGGGCAAGCAACCCCCAUCUGCUCUCUAUCUCUCCCAUUAGCACAUGUCCAGUUUUUUUUGAACAAAAGUCUGCUACUACAUGAACAAGUCCAUGAACAGAUUUAUUUUUGUUUGUGAAUUGAUAUCCUUCCGAACACAAACAGUGUAUAUAUGUGCUACUUUCAUUCUUGUGCUUUUAUUUGUAAGCUCAUAAAAUAGUUAAACUGGAAAUGCCAUGAUUAAUUAAGGAAUCAAUCUCACGAAGGAUGAUGCUUGAUGCAGCGAAGGAUCACAUUGUAUUGCUGACAAUUUCAAUUUAUUGGGUCGCCGUCAUUGUGAGGUUGCCGGCUGGAGGAACUGCAGCGGCUCUCUGUUCUCCAGCCAUUAAAUUCACCACUGAAUAACGAAACUCUUGGCUCAAUUAAUUAUGUCCUAUAGGAUGUGGAGGCAAACGAGUUGCGAUGAUCUGCAUGACUGCACCGCCUCCAACAACACUGGAUUCACAGAAUCAGUAUAGCAGCCCUUGCCACACAGUUGGCUUUGGUGUUUAUUUUCCUGCUUAACUAUUUGGAUGUGUUCUUUUGAAUACCUCUGAUUAUCUGUAUGGCGUAUCUAAUUAACCAUUCUUUAUGGCACAUACAUGUAGGUAUUGCUAAAGAGAUGCAGGGUGCUUCAAAUAUGAAGAUAUACAAUCUGUUAGUAUUGUGGGCCGGGGUAUCUGAUCUUUUACUUUUAGCCUGGGACACCGUGUUGCAAUGCUCUUGACCGAUUGAUUUUCCUCCACGCAAAUCUGUGACCAAUUCUAUCGCAAUCUUUUCUUCAUUAUCUUCAGUAUUUUUUAUCUAAUGUCGCAUUACAGAGAAAUUCUCGGUAUCUCCAGUAUUUGUGAUGUCAACAAAUCGGUCUCCUUUAAAGAAUGUUAUUGGCACUUGGAAGUACCCAAUAAAUCACUCCACAAAACAAGAAAGUGCAGGGAGUUGCCGGGUGACACUUUGGUAAAUCUUGCUGCCAUUCUGUCUCUCAACUCUUUCUGGGCGAGUUCUGAAAGAAAUCCAUCUUUUUAAAGUGGAAUGGGCAUUCUGCCCCUGCACAUGGACGCCGUCGAGUUCGCGGCAAGGAGCUAUGGCAAGCAGCAGCAACGGUUUUAAGCAGAGGCAGCGGGCAGCAGCAGCAGUGGCAAGCAGAGGCAGCGGGCAGCAGCAGCAGAGGGCAGAAGCGAAUGUAGAACAAGACCCCACGGCUGGGAGAUCUCUGGGUGCAGAGUGCAGACUACGUUUUUUCUUUGCGCAGGAGUGCAGACUAUGUUGACAAAGUACUAAUCAAGAAUUGCAAGAUGCAGAACAGGAAGGAUGAUGCGGUGGAGAAGGCAGAUGGCGCCUUGGACGAGUCUGUGCGUGCGCUGGGCGCAGUGGCGACAAAGUGCAAAGCAGAAGGAGGCGUUGUGGCUCCCCAAUCUCUAGGCGUGCGUGAGUGUAAGCUGGACAUGAAGGAAGAACUGCUAUUUGUGAUGCUGGUCUGCUGAGGAUGAUACCUACUUGCAGUGAUGCUUACACACUGAAAUUACUAGCUGCAAUUUAUCAUGAGGCAAUUUCUUGUUGUGUGUGCGCUACUGCUGCUUAUAGGGAAUAGAGAAUAGAGAAAAGAGAUAAUGUUG